CCUACGGGUGGCAGCAGUGGGGAAUAUUGCACAAUGGAGGAAACCCUGAUGCAGCGACGCCGCGUGAGUGAAGAAGUCUUUCUGUAUGUAAAGCUCUAUCAGCAGGGAAGAAAAUCACGGUACCUGACUACACACCCCCGGCUAACUCCGUUCCAGCCGCCGCGGUCCGACGUAGGGGGCAGGCGUUAUCCGGGUUUACGGGGUGUAACGGGGACGUAGACGGCCAGACAAGUCAGCAGUGAAAGCCCAGGGCUCACCCCGGGGACUGCCUUUGAAACUGCCGGGCUGGAGUGCAGGAGAGGUAAGCGGAAUGCCUAGUGUAGCGGUGAAAUGCGUAGAUAUUAGGAGGAACACCAGUUGCGAAGGCGGCUCACUGGACUGUAACUGACGUUGAGGCUCGAAAGCGUGGGGAGCAAACAGGAUUAGAUACCCCAGUAGUC
rnacentral:rRNA from 1 species